CCACCCGGGGCCCAGAGGCGCGGCGCUCGCGGCCCACGCGGGGCGGGCGGGCCUGGGGUCGUCGGCUGGCGUGCCCGAGGGCUUUCACCCGCAGAGCCGCCGUCCGAGGUUCCGGUCUCCGCCUGGGGUCGCCUGAGCACUGCAGCUUACAGGGCUGCUCGGGAUGACGUAGGGGGAGGGGAAGAAGCAGCUGCGCCGCGGCUGCUCGCGGCCAGAGCCCGAGGCGGGGUCGGUUUCUUGGCAACGGGGCCCCUCUCGGGUCGCGCCCACCCCCUUCUUGGUCGGUCUCCCCUCCCCCAUUGAAGCUCCGCGGAGUCAGAGCCCCGGGACCCGAGGCGGAGCCCAGCCGGGUCCGCCCUCCCCAGCCUCCCGGAACCCGCCCGGAAACGUGCAGUACCCCGCCCGGGCCGAGGGCGAGAGCAGGCCGAUGGGUGGAGCGCUUGGAGAGGCGGGAGAGCCCGGGUCCUGGGUUCCAGCCCGGGCCGCGAGCCCCGGGGCCCCUCUUUCCAUUCCGGGCGUUUUCAAACUUGGGAACCUGCCUUGAAGCCUGACUAAAUUGUCUGGGUUGGAGCUCAGGACGACUGGCCCAUGUCUUGCUCUGUGAAAUUACACAUGUCAUUUCUCACUUGUCCGUUCAAGAAACACUAUGGAGGACCUUCUGUCUGCUUGAGAGCUGACACUUCAGGGAUCUGGCUGCAUCUAGCUGUGUGAUCCAGAGCCUGGUGGAGGGCUGGGAAUGCUAGCAGCUCCUCUAACUCUUACUACUAUAAACCAGAGGAAUAGUUGAGACCUCUGCUUCUGGCUCUGAACACCAGCCUGGAUCAAACCAAACCUCCCACCUCAAACAAGCAGAACAGCUGGAUAAUUUAAAAAAUAUGUCUGACAGUAAGAACCUGAGAGGGCAAGAUCCUGGAGAGAAUGGAAACAUAGAAAGCACGUGGCUUCCACAGCAGACUGCCUUGCCGGGGACGUGGAUGGAGUCGGGUGCAGCCAAGUGGGCCAACCCGGGUUCAGGCAUCUGACUGUGCCCUCUGAAUCCGGAGCAGCAUAGCCGCCUCUCCGCUGGGCCCUGGGCACUCGUCCACUGUCUUUGCGGUACCUACGGGCUCUUCACACGGAGGCGACUAAGAAAACAUUUCUCAGGGAGAACAGACUUGAAUGGUAACAUCCCUGCAUAUUAACAGAAACGGAGGAGUAUUUAGAGCUUAUGUGGUUUGAAUGUGACCUUCUUACCAGACUAGCUCAGAAUAACAAUUUAGUUAUUUUCGAAAAUGGCUGUACUUCUAAAUAAUUAGAUAUUGUAAUCAUUUCCAUCAGUGACUCCAUUCGGAGCCCUGUUUCAGUUAACAUGGUCAUUGUGCUACCGUGGCCUGCAUGUAGCGCUCGGUCUUUGGAAAUAGGAAGUGUAUGAUAAGCGUUCUGUUAUUUCUGCUGCCCACCACAAGCUCUGCUAUAUUUUUCCCAGUGUUCCUAUUUGGAGAAGGAUUUUGUGCUGUUGAAUUUUGAUAUUCCUAGUGUCCUCUGCAAAGGUUGUCUCUCAUUUGAGUUGCUUCUUUUAACCCUUGGCAGUGGUUUUGAAGAGAAGAGGCAUGUGAAGACGGUCUGAGUAUUUUGUAAACAACCAAAGCUGAUUUAUCAAAAAGAGCACUUUUUUCUAGUGUAACGGUCUCUGUCAAACUUCUUUCUCUUUUCCGAGUGCUGGAGAAUGUGCUGGGUCUGGCCUUUGCAUUUGGAAAGUUAGAAUGACGCCUCCUUCUCUGUUUUAAUAUAUUUCACCUCUCUGAGGCAGACGGAUCAGAAGCUCACAAGGAAAAGCGAUGCCCUUUCCUGCGGCGACAUUAACCAGAAUCACGUGGAAAACAAUCCAAGCCUUGUAGGAAAAGGGAGCCAUUAAAAUGUGCCCUGAGCGAUUGGCUGCACCCAAUCUUGCAGCCUGGCUCACUCGCGGCAGCAGACAGGAGGCUGCUCCCCUGGAUGGAGAGAGCCUUGUUGUAGUGCCACAAUUAAAAUCAGCUCCUCUGCCAAAAAUAAAAGGGAGGAGGGAGGAAGGAGAACAUCAAAGACAGACUGAAAUGUGUAGUUAGUAGUAAGAGUGGUCUCCUCUUGAACCACAGCCUGCAGCGAUUCACGGCCCCCUUGUUAAUGAGAAAUUUUGACCUCUGGUUUGUAAGUUAAACUUGUAAUCCCAGCUAAUGAAGUAAAUCACUUCCAACUUGAGUCUGUUGUUCCCGUCUGCUUUGCACACUGCGUCUGAGAGUGAGGAUCCAGGUCCACACACACAGAUUGAAGGGAAAUAUAAUUAUUCAGUGACCGCAGAGUUUCUUGCGUGUUGAGGAUGUGCUCGCAGUAACACUGCAGGCGUGGACUGUGGACCUGUCUGUUAUUUCAUUGUAACCUGUGUGUUGAUAAGAGAGAGAGCCUGUUAGACUCUGGGUUGAACAGCAGGAUUGAAUGACACUUCAGGGAGGUAAAUUGGGGACCCUACACACUGCAUUUCUUUAGCAAAUGGAAAUCCUAGUUCCAGGCCAACGACCGAGCAGACAGUCUAGUACUUUGCAUAGGGUAGAAGUCGAGGCAUAUUUACUGAAGAAAUGCUGCUGAAUGAAGGAAGGACUAUUCGGGUGAUGUAGAGCUCAGAGGGAAAGAAGAAAGCACCGCUCAGGAAUGUGAGUCCAAGAAAGGCAGGGCUGAGGAGUCUGCGAGCUGCCUGACUUCCGGCUGCGCUGAGCCUUGGUGGGGAGGAGAGGAGCCGUUGUGUGAAACUGGGUACAGCUGGGAUGCUAAGGGGCUUGCUUCUUCGAGUGACAGAUUAUAGCUGAGAGAAACGGGCUAAAAAAUUACCCUAUUUUAAUUACGUGAGGGCAGAAGUAGGUAUUAGACUGUUGUUUCGUCUAAAGGGGAUUUCAUUCAGAGAGCUGUUGACAUUCUGUUGGAGGUCCAUGACACAUCACGUUCUGUUCCUCCCGGCUAGUCUAAAUUCUCUAAAAUUUUCCGGAUUAUUGUGUAAAUGAUCUUAGCUUCUGACCGGGAAACAAUACUAUUAAUUUUUGGCCAGGAGACAACUCAGCCCCACAGUCUGGUGCCAGGGCAUAGUGACCUGUCAGAGGUGAAUCUUCUGGUCUUUGGGGAAUGUUAUCCCUCCCCGCAAGGGGAGGAUGCCUUUUCUGGAGUUCAGGCCACCACCCUCCAAUCUAGGCCGACUUUCCCAGUGGUGGGGAGGUGGCUGCCCUCGGAACCGGCUGGGACCACGAGGAAUCAGUGGGAGCUCCCAUGGGGCAGGGGUGGCACUGCCCACCCUCUCUGUAGGCGGGAUCUCUGUGACAAAAAUCCCACAAUGGAAAAUGGCUCUUGUUCAGAAAAAUCGGGGAAGCCGGAAUUUUCCUUCUCAUAUUGCACAUCCUUGUCCCUCUCCAAUCCCUUGGCAGGUAUCAGCCUAAAACGUUUCUGAAGACUUAAAGCUUUCUAGGCCUAAGGAGGGAGUUUGGGAGGGAGGAUGUUUUUAAACCACUGACUCCUGUUAUUUCUGUUGAAGGGCACUUAGACCUAGUCUCCUUGUGUCUCUCUUGUUUUUCAUUAGACAAAGCAAAGCAUUUGGGCAUUUGUCCUGUUUGUAUGACCCUGGAGAGAGCUCUGGGGUGAGUCCCCAGGCAGGAAAAGUCACUGACCGGUGUCCGAAAUCUGAGGACGUCUGGGGCCUGAGGCUGGGCAUUCAGAUCUACUACAAACAACAGUGCGUUAUACGUCAAGUGAUUUGAAUAAUCUCAUUUUUCCUCUAGAUUUGAGCAUGUAUAAAAUACUGAUUUCAUCAACAAGUGGAGAAAAUGCCACAGCGAAUCUGUUCUCCGAUGGUGUACCUGGUGCUCCAGAGGAUUCUUUUGCACUCCAGUAUUUGAGAAGUUCUGCUUUUCUAAAGGUGGAGCCUCAGUUAUCUCAUCUGUAAACUGGGAGUAAGAAGAACAACCUCCUUGGUUGCUUCGGACACCACGGGAAUGUGAGAAACCUUUGCAAGUCUUAAAAUGCGCGAAGGCUCUGCACAUAUGUGCCCAUUUUAACCUUGAAUUCUGACGUGUAUCUGGGGUGAUUUCCUUCCUCCAUUGGUGGAUCUGGGGGAAGGCUCUCCUCCCCUCCAGAUCUGAACCUCUAUGUGCCUUGCGAGAGAAAAGUGCCUCUUGAAGGUCUGUGUGCAGUGAAACUUUGCACAGGCUUUGAGGGUUGCAGAAUGUCCCCACAAUCCCCUUUUCCAGAUUAAAUGUUUGCAUCUCUUGUUAUAUUAGGAAUUAGACCUGCUUUGUGAUCAUUGCACUUGAGUACCUGUAAAAUACAAAAAUACACCAGUGGCUGGUGUCUACGAAUUGGCUGUUUUUGUGUGCAUGCGUGCCUCCGUGUGUGUGUGUGUGUGUGUGUGUGUGUGUGUGUGUGUGUAAUAUAUAUUCAAGGCAGGCAAAACGGUUUACAUAUUCCCAACCCAUGUUAACAAGAUGUUCUUUCCUGAACAUAACACGUUUCUGAAAAUUCCUGAAUCUUUCACUCUGAAACUCAACAAUAUUGUUAUUAAAAUGGUUCUGUUUAAAGAA